rnacentral:rRNA from 1 species
UACAGAGGUCUCAAGCGUUGUUCGGAUUCAUUGGGCGUAAAGGGUGCGUAGGCGGCGCGGUAAGUCGGGUGUGAAAUCUUGGAGCUUAACUCCGAAACUGCAUUCGAUACUGCCGUGCUUGAGGACUGGAGAGGAGACUGGAAUUUACGGUGUAGCGGUGAAAUGCGUAGAUAUCGUAAGGAAGACCAGUGGCGAAGGCGGGUCUCUGGGCAGUAACUGACGCUGGAGGAGCGAAAGCGUGGGGAGCGAACAGG